rnacentral:lncRNA from 1 species
CAGUUCAAUUCAGGGAGAAAUCAGGAAAGGCUCCAUGCAGAAAUAGGGUCUGUUAGAGCCAUCUUUGAGGAAUUGAGGCCUGGAGAUGGGAGGUCUUGAGUUCAAAUUUGACCUCAGACACUUUCUAGCUGGGUGACCCUGGGCAAGUCACUUAACCCCUAAUGCCUAGCCCUUACCGCUCCUCAGCCUUGGAAGCAAUACUCAGUGUUGAUUCCAAGAUGGAAGGGUUGUUUUUUUUUUUUUAAAAGAUUGCUCUACCAUGUCUUCUACAGGAAGCCUUCCUGAUCUUGCCCUCCUUCUCUCCCUUCCUCCCUCCUAAAACUUACCUGAUUUGGGGUGUAUUGGGGCUUUACUUGCCUCUCCCAAUAGAAUGUGAAGUCUCUGAGGGCAGGGGCAAUUUUAUUUCCAUCUGUGCCUAGCACAGUCCCUGGCAGUGGAUUUGGAGAAAUAGAGUGCUGAGCAGGACCACAGACAGAGAACAUCAAGGUGGCAAUCAGGGAAGGCACCUGGAGGAAGCGGGCUUUGAGGAAGGGAAAGGACGCCCGAAUGGAGGAAAGAUGGCAGGUCCCCAGACACAGCGUUCUUCCGAAGCCACACAGUCAUCGUCUUUCCUCCGUUCUCUCUUGCAGACGACGACGACGACGAUACAAUUUCCUACGAAAAUAUCUUAAUCUGCAAACCCUCGGAGGAAGGCAAAGGUGGGGAGGAAUCUCCGGAUUAUCAGAACUCGGCGUCCAUCGAGCAGUGGAGACAGUCGAUCAAGGUGGCAAGUACCAGGGAGGGAGCUGAACCCGGGAGCUGUCCAACCAGGACCUGCACUCUGGCAGGAAGCCUGGAGGACGACCCCAGCGAGCCCGAUUAUGUGAAUGGAGACAUGCCUUUCCUGUAGGGAGAAGGUGCUGGGAUGCAGCACAAGGACGCCACCCUCUGCCCGACCCACUCAUGGAAGCCCCAACACUGUCCCCUCCACAGGCCUCCCCACGGAGGGACUUUCCUCAGAAACCCUCCCACAGGCUGCCUCCGACCUCUCCUGCCUUCUUUUUCCGGAGGUUCCGAAGGGAAGCCCAGCACUCGGCCCCCAAGAUGGGCAAAUGGCGGCUCUGAGACUUUUGGGGGGGGGGUGUAGGAAGGCCCACCAUGUAGUCUGCCCACAUGGCGUGGGGUCCUGCAGGCGCCCCUGGGCUCCGGCCACCUCUGUUCCUUACUCCCCCAGGGGCUGGGAGGGCCUCCCUUUUCUCAUCUGUAACUUGGGGAGGGGGGCCUGGCUGGUCUGACCUUAACUGGAGGAGGCUCACCCCCACCUGAUGGACCGAAGGCAGGCCCUUGGCGUGGGCCCAGCCCAAAGCUGCUUCUUGGUCUGUAGCUCGUGCUAAGGCCGCAGGCUUAGUCUCAGAAAGCAUUAGGAUGUUCCUAUAAGGAGCCCCGUCCAGCCACUCAGCUAAUAAAUAAAGGGAUACUGAAGGCCA